rnacentral:lncRNA from 1 species
UGAGUGAAAAGCAGCCAAUUAGAAAAGAUUACAUACAGUGUGAUUCUAUUUAUAAAAAAUUUUGAAAUGAAAAACAUUUUAGAAAUGGAGGCAGAUUAGUGGUGGUCAGAGGGCAGGGAUAGAACUAUGGAUGGGGAGACCAGGGGAGGGGUCGGGAAGGAGGAGGUUAUGUCUAUAAAACGGCAACACAGGAUCUUUGUGCUAGUGGAAUUAAGUUGGUGUCUCGACUGUGGUAGCAAAUACAUGAACCUAUGCAGGUGAUAAAAUUGUAUAGAACUUAAUAUACACACAGACACACAAAGGAAUACAAGUAAAACUUGGCAAAGCUGAAUAACAUCAGUGGAGCGUAUCAAUGGCUUUCGCACCAAAGUGGUAAGGAUGUCCUGGAAGAUCACCAGUAAAACAGUUUUGGGGAACAAUACAGUUGUUGGAAAUAGAAAGAUGGGAAAUAUCCAGUUACAAAUUGCAAAUGGCAGCAAAGUUUUAAAUUUUUCAAAUUAAAUUAUACAAGUAACACAUAAAGAUAUCUCCUUGUAAAAAGGUAAAAGAGUACAUACAAGGAGCAAAUUUGUGUUCUUUCCAAUUUCCUAUGCCUUUACACACAUGUGUAUAUAGUGUAAAAAAACUAUUUGCUUUAAUGUAAUUAUGUGUUCAGUCUAUAUCAUUUUGGAAUUUCCCCUUUUUAUUCAAUAUACCCUAUUAUUCAGUACCUUUUAAUUCAAUAUACCAAUAUACCUUAGUAGUUUUUCCAUAUUAAUGCUGUAUGUGGGUCUAUUUCUUAUUUUAACUGUUGGAUAGUGUUACAGAGCAUGGCUAUGCAUAGUAAUUAAUGCACUGUUCACCACUGAUGAAUAUUUUGGUUGUAGGUCAAUUUUUCACUGAUAACAAAUUAUACUGCAGUGUGAAAUCCUUAAUACAGUACCAGUUUGCAGGUGUUUCUAGGGCAAACACUACCAAAAACUGGAAUUACUGGUUAAUAGGAUAUAGAUACAGGUAUAGGUAUAGGGUGUGGAGAAUGAGAGUUACAGUUUACCCAUUACUCUUUGCCUCCUCUUCUUUCAGUACUAGAAUCUGUCCCAGUGACCUUGCUAUGCUGGGUAGGGUAAAUUUUUAUGGUGACUAUAUUAAGGAGAGGGAAAAUGAGUGAUCCGAGAUGUAUACCUUUGUUAGUGUCAUUUCUUUUAUUGGUGGAGUUUGUAAUAUUUUAAUCAUUGCAGUCAUUUGUGGUAAAACUUGCUAUUUUAGGAUCUCCUCCUGUUCCUGAAAAUGACAUUGGAAAGCUUCAUGCCCACUCACCUAUGGAGUUGUGGAAAAAAGUGUAUGAAAAGCUCUUUCCACCAAAGAGUAUUAACACGCUGAAAGAUAUCAAGGACCCUGCGAGAGAUCCUCAGUAUGCUGAAAAUGAAGUCGAUGAGAUGAGAAUUCAGAAGGAUCUGGUAUUAUCCUAAACAUUUACUUAAUUUCAUCUGAAAUUUUAACACAAAACCUGGGGUGCCUUGGGAAUUCCUUACAUUUUUCUCUAUGUAUUUACUUAGAGUAUCUUCUUUACUAUUAAAAUUAUUUAAGUAGUACAUCUAUUUAAAUAACACACUAAUAGUAUACUGUAGAAAAAAUAAAAAUUUGAUAUGAAUAAAGAAAAAUUUUUAAAUCACCUGUCAUCCCACCACCCAGACAUGACUUAGUGUUCACAUAAACCUUUUUGAUUUUCCAGUUUUCAUUAUAUUAAAGAUGAGUGGUG